CGUGUGUUGCUUCACCUGCUUGGGGAAAGUGAAGGGGCUGCAACGGCAAUCCAAACAAUUAAACGCUCGAGUUUGUUCCACGGACCUUUGAAACUGCGCUAGCCAAAGCAGAGCAUUAUAUGGCUUCUUAAGCAGUGGCACAGGUGGCUGACAGGCUUGACUGCUGGAACCUAUCUGGCCAGCAGGUAUUACGCAGAGGAGGAGAAGAAAAAAGAAAAGAGGAAGAAGAAAAAGAAGGAAAGAAGACAUGAAUGUGUGACAGGACACAAACAUAUUUUGCAGUUUAGCUGCAUUUCUCCAGUCUAAUGGAACAGGGUGUUUUUGCCCUAACAGGCUCCAGAGCUCUCAGUAUAACUGUGUGGCUGCAGAGUAGCCCUGGGUUAGGGUGUGUGACUGCAGAGUCAGCCUGGGUUAGGGUGUGUGGCUGCAGAGUAAGCCUGGGUUAGGGUGUGUGGCUGCAGAGUAAGCCUGGGUUAGGGUGUGUAGCUGCAGAGUAAGCCUGGGUUAGGGUGUGUGACUGCAGAGUCAGCCUGGGUUAGGGUGUGUGGCUGCAGAGUAAGCCUGGGUUAGGGUGUGUAGCUGCAGUGUAAGCCUGGGUUAGGGUGUGUGGCUGCAGAGUAACGCUGGGUUAGGGUGUGUGGCUGCAGAGUAACGCUGGGUUAGGGUGUGUGGCUGCAGAGUAACGCUGGGUUAGGGUGUGUGGCUGCAGAGUAACCCUGGGUUACGGUUAGGGUACCCCGAACAGCACAGCCCCAAGGAACGGCACACCCACCACGUCUGAAAACAUUCGAAAUUAACCCUCACAUUCACCUGGAAACACCCUCUCGUGGGCAAAUGCAGCUCACAUUAAGACGAAACGUAAAAAAGAAAAGGUGUUUGAUAUCUUAUUGUCUGACAAACGCUCAGUUUUAACUUUGCUGCUCUGUGAUUGGCCCAAAGACUGUAUUAGUGACACAGUGGCUGGUCGUUGCUCCGUGAUUGGCCAGAGGACUGUAAUAUACGUGUGACACAGUGGCCGGAUGCUGUUCUCUGAUUGGCCAGAGGACCGCAUUAAAUGCGUUUGUCUCCUGUUGUUUCCAGACAUGCAUUGAUUUAGUUUUUAUUCCCACACAUUACAUGCUGUGUGUGUUUAAAAA